GACGAACGCUGGCGGCGUGCUUAACACAUGCAAGUCGAACGGAAAGGCCCUGCUUUUGUGGGGUGCUCGAGUGGCGAACGGGUGAGUAACACGUGAGUAACCUGCCCUUGACUUUGGGAUAACUUCAGGAAACUGGGGCUAAUACCGGAUAGGAGCUCCUGCUGCAUGGUGGGGGUUGGAAAGUUUCGGCGGUUGGGGAUGGACUCGCGGCUUAUCAGCUUGUUGGUGGGGUAGUGGCUUACCAAGGCUUUGACGGGUAGCCGGCCUGAGGGGGUGACCGGCCACAUUGGGACUGAGAGACGGCCCAGACUCCUACGGGAGGGAGGAGGGGGGAAUAUUGCACAAUGGGCGGAAGCCUGAUGCAGCAACGCCGCGUGCGGGAUGACGGCCUUCGGGUGGGAAACCGCUUUCGCCUGUGACGAAGCGUGAGUGACGGUAAUGGGUAAAGAAGCACCGGCUAACUACGU
rnacentral:rRNA from 1 species